rnacentral:rRNA from 1 species
UACGUAGGGGGCAAGCGUUGUCCGGAAUUAUUGGGCGUAAAGCGCGCGCAGGCGGCUUCUUAAGUCAGGUGUGAAAGCCCACGGCUCAACCGUGGAGGGCCAUCUGAAACUGGGAAGCUUGAGUGCAGGAGAGGAGAGCGGAAUUCCACGUGUAGCGGUGAAAUGCGUAGAGAUGUGGAGGAACACCCGUGGCGAAGGCGGCUCUCUGGCCUGUAACUGACGCUGAGGCGCGAAAGCGUGGGGAGCAAAC